GACGAACGCUGGCGGCAUGCCUAAUACAUGCAAGUCGAGCGAACGGAUGAAGUGCUUGCACUUCUGACGUUAGCGGCGAACGGGUGAGUAACACGUAAGGAAUCUACCUAUAGGCGGGGGAUAACAUUCGGAAACGGGUGCUAAUACCGCAUAAUAUCUUCUUCCGCAUGGAAGAAGAUUGAAAGACGGCUCUGCUGUCACUUAUAGAUGACCUUGCGGUGCAUUAGUUAGUUGGUGGGGUAAUGGCCUACCAAGACGAUGAUGCAUAGCCGGCCUGAGAGGGGGAUCGGCCACAUUGGGACUGAGACACGGCCCAAACUCCUACGGGAGGCAGCAGUAGGGAAUCUUCCGCAAUGGGCGAAAGCCUGACGGAGCAAUGCCGCGUGAGUGAAGAAGGCCUUCGGGUCGUAAAACUCUGUUAUAAGAGAAGAACAAAUUGUAGAGUAACUGCUACAGUCUUGACGGUAUCUUAUCAGAAAGCCACGGCUAACUACGUGCCAGCCGCCGCGGUAA
rnacentral:rRNA from 1 species